rfam:Gossypium raimondii Chr03_contig_67, whole genome shotgun sequence.
UUUUAAAAGUUUCAUCUAUUUCUACUGUUAAAAUUUGAUAUAGUUGACAGAAUAACUAGACAGUUACAAAUGACGUGCCACGUGAAGUUUAUGCCGACAUACAUAGACCGGUUUUUAACUAUAGAAAUCGGUGAAACUUUUAAAA